rnacentral:lncRNA from 1 species
AUUAAAUUCUUGCAUUGUAUACACGUCAUGGAGGGUCAAUACUUUGAUCCAUCUUUUAUCGAUCUGCCCUGACAUUUCUUAUUUUCUUAUACCAGUACAGUAGUACUACAAUUCAGACGUUUGCAAAAGGAGACACACACUGUCACACUGAUCGAACUCGCGUAGGUCAGUGUAUUGUGCAUACGGAUUUCCAUUUCGGCCUAAUUGUUUACAUUAGCUGAAACGGGAAUGGGACACUACGAUGUAGUAUUGCCGCUGCUUGUUACUGCUACCCACGUAUUUUGUGUGCCGUCGCCUAGCUCUAGGUAGCCGGCCUACGAUCCAUCGCCCCGUCCAUGUCAUGAUCUCUUUUCCCCAUCCCCAAGAAUCCGAGUACAAAAGGUACUACUGUUCACCUUGUCCCCCUGUGCCGUGUAGCCUUGUUCUGUCCCCACGUCCUUUGCUUUUUUUUCCUUUCAUUUCUUCUUUUCUUCUUUUCUUCUUGUUGCACUUUUGGAUCUUCUAUUUCAAUUGAACCCAACUGAGAAGUUAUAUGCAAGCUCCGUACAAGCUUAGGCCGGGGUUUGGAACACAGGAAUUCAAAAUACAGGAGC